CACACUGACAAAGAGGAUAGCUGACUGUAGGGGGAGCUGCAGCGUCAGCCCCUCCUAGGCAGUUCCAGUGUGAGACCUGCUGACCCGGGGUUGUGUCUUCCGGAGCCGCUCUGCCAUGUGGAGACAGGUUUUCUUAAUCUCUUUCUUAGUUUCCUAUUUUGUUUGGCAUCUCUAUACCCUCUUCUAACUACCUUAAACUGCGGGGAUUCCCUUCCUGACCUAAAAAAGAAGGUGGGAUACUAUCCCUUCUUUCCAAGAGAAAUUACAAAAUUAUGGAAAUUAUGAAAAUUGGGACUUGUGCAAUAUACAUCCGUGGAUGCUGUCAAUCUAAAAUUAUGGAUAAGCACCACAGAUACAAACGGAGUCUGUCUAUACACAAAAUGGGUUGCUUUGGUUACCGGAUAGGACGUAUCGACAAUAGGAAGCCAGAUGGUUGCUAUGGCUACCGGAUAUGAUGUAUCGGCAACAGGGAGCCGGACGGAUAUAUGUAACAGGAAAUUGAAUGAGGAGCGGCGGGACGCGGCAAGGUCUCACCGGACUUGUAGUCGCUUGAUGUAUGGCCGCUUGAGGACUGGACGCAGGAUGUUUAAAAAGGAAGUUGUGGGACACGGACAGCAUACACCGGACACUUUGCCUUGAAAAAAACCUGCCUCAUAGGGUUGAAACAUGUUGACAUACUUUGGAGGAGAUUCGGUGUCUAUCUUGGGGUACCUGGUGGAUGGUGAAUGAGACAUGCAGCUUACCCGGGUGUAACAUCAUACAUGCUCCUAAGAGCUGCCGGCUGACACUUCUCACUAGAAGCUGGAAAUUUCCUAUUGUUGGAAUAUUUAAGGAUUACCAUGCUGUCAAUUUAUUUUAUGUGUUUUUAUUGCUGUCUGUAAAAUAAAAAAAAACUGUGCUUCACUA